GAGGGAUAGGCCCCUCGGUGUCGUCUAUCAGGAGGAGACACCAAACCACCCUGAGCUGCGGCCUAAAGAGCGACCGUGGUGAGCGUCAUGGGAAAAGGCAGGAGGAAAAAAACUGUCAGGU
rfam:Pelobacter sp. SFB93, complete genome.